CUAAAGUUAACAAACCACAUAUUAGUCAAAUUCUUAAGACUUUAAUAAAUCAGUUAUUAAAUCUUAAAAAAUAUAUAAAAACAUGUUCUUAUAUUUUCACAGGAAAUACAACUUGAUUUUAUUUGUCCUUCAGAUACUUGACCAUAUACAAAUUAAAACAUUAAAUUAUUUUUUUUAUCUUUUUGAUUUUAUAAUUUAAUAACAUAAAAAAAGUACAAACACACACACACACACACAUCCCUUUUUAUUAUAUUGUUUUUUCAUACACCCAUAUAUAAUUACAUGUUAAACAAAUACAGAAAUUAAACAAAACCACUAACAACAAUUUAAAUCCAUAUUCCAGCACGUAAAAAUUACAAAAAAAAAGACCCUAAAAAAUCCAGGAAUUGCAGGGGAAGCCAUCUGGACUGUAGGAACAGUGGCGGCGUGUAUCCUCCACGCGCCGCCGCAAGAAAAAAACAAGGACAGGGUGGAUCUGACUUGGCUUCACCCAUUCUUCCUUUCCUCGCCGGCAGUGACCUGCAACAAGAAAAAAGAAAACGCAGGCAGUUGAUUUUAAUCCAUUUCUGUCCAGACUGUUGUAUUUUUUUUCCUUUUUAGAUCUGUUAACUUCUGUCUUCUUUCUUCUUCUCAGUUUGUUGUUCUUUCCUUCUUCUCCCGGUGGCAGCUCUUGAGGUUGGGCGGCGGCAGCGGCGCUGGAUUCGGGCUGUUUCUUUGGCCGUUGCUAUUGGAAGCUGAAAUUUGGUCUAGGUGAGCUGGCUGAUUGGUGGUGAAGGAGACUAGGAAAGGGAGAUGAGGAAGUGCAGUGGGCGAUCUCUGUGGUGUGCUGGGAGGCUGAGAGUUAGUGGCCGGCUGCUGUGGGGAAGGAGAUGGGGACGGCUGUUGGUUUGGGAGAGAAACAGAGGAAAUGGGGAACCAUGGGUUUGUGGGAGAAGGCCGAAGUAGAUGGGGAGAGGCGUGGGAUUGAAGAUGAGUGUUGCUGGAGGCUGCUGGUUUUCCCAAAGGGUGGGCGGCUGGCGUAAGGAAGGGACGACGUUUGUGGGCUGUUGGAUGGAGAAGAGGAAGGCUUGUGCUGGUUCACGAGAGCGAAAAUCAAAAGCAGGGAGGGCGGCUCUGUUUUUUUCUUUUCAAAGGGAGGGAGCGACCAGAAGAGGAAGAUGAAAUGGGUUUAGGGUUUUUUGUGUUUGGCUCCUCUUUUUUGAAAAAUUGCCCCCUUUUGAAUAUU
rnacentral:lncRNA from 1 species